rnacentral:rRNA from 1 species
CCUACGGGAGGCAGCAGUGGGGGAUAUUGCACAAUGGGCGAAACCCUGAUGCAGCGACGCCGCGUGGGUGAAGAAGCGCCUCGGCGCGUAAAGCCCUGUCAGCAGGGAAGAAAAUGACGGUACCUGAAGAAGAAGCCCCGGCCAACGACGUGACAGCAGGCGCGGUAAUACGGAGGGGGCAAGCGUUAUCCGGAUUUACUGGGUGUAAAGGGGGCGCAGGCGGCGUUGCAAGCCAGGGGGGAAUGCCCUGGGUCGAAGCCCGGGACGGCCGUUGGAACUGCGUGGCUGGAGUGCGGGAGGGGCAGGCGGAAUUCCUGGUGUAGCGGUGAAAUGCGUAGAUAUCAGGAGGAACACCGGUGGCGAAGGCGGCCUGCUGGACUGCAACUGACGUUGAGGCGCGAAAGCGUGGGGAGCAAACAGGAUUAGAUACCCCUGUAGUC